AGUGAACGCUGGCGGUAGGCUUAACACAUGCAAGUCGAACGGCAGCACAGUAAGAGCUUGCUCUUACGGGUGGCGAGUGGCGGACGGGUGAGGAAUACAUCGGAAUCUACUUUUUCGUGGGGGAUAACGUAGGGAAACUUACGCUAAUACCGCAUACGACCUACGGGUGAAAGCAGGGGAUCUUCGGACCUUGCGCGAUUGAAUGAGCCGAUGUCGGAUUAGCUAGUUGGCGGGGUAAAGGCCCACCAAGGCGACGAUCCGUAGCUGGUGUGAGAGGAUGGUCAGCCACACUGGAGCUGAGACACGGUCCAGACUCCUACGAGAGGCAGCAGUGGGGAAUAUUGGACAAUGGGCGCAAGCCUGAUCCAGCCAUACCGCGUGGGUGAAGAAGGCCUUCGGGUUGUAAAGCCCUUUUGUUGGGAAAGAAAAGCAGCAGGUUAAUACCCCGCUGUUCUGACGGUACCCAAAGAAUAAGCACCGGCUAACUUCGUG
rnacentral:rRNA from 1 species